rnacentral:tRNA from 1 species
GGGUGCGCAGGAGAGGGUUACUUCCACCUUUCACGUGGGUGACGCAGGUUCGAAUCCUGCCGGUCCUG